rnacentral:rRNA from 1 species
UAAGCACGACUCCCGGCAAUGGAUAUCUCGGCUCUCGCAUCGAUGAAGAACGUAGCGAAAUGCGAUACUUGGUGUGAAUUGCAGAAUCCCGUGAACCAUCGAG